CUCUGAGUAGGUCAGGGACCCAGGAGGGCAAUGAUUUUUUAAUUUACUUAUGAAACUUCCAUAACAGCACAUGGCCUGGCACAGAAUUGUACUCAAAAAUUGUUUGUCAGAUAUAAUUACACUUUGAAAAACUCUUUCCAUCUAGCUAACACACUGAAUUUUAAAUUCAAACUAGUCGGACUCUUGCCAUGGAAUAGAGCAGGAGUUGGCGAACUUUUUCUGUAAAGGGCCAGACAGUAAAUAUUUUUAGCUUUGUGGGUUGUAUGGUCUCAGUUGCAACUACCCAACUCUGCUGUUAUACCACAGAAGUAGCUAUAAACUGUACGUAAACAAAUGGGCACAGCUGUGUUCUAGUACAACUUAUCUAAACAGGCAAUGGAGGGCUGAAUUGGGCUGUAGUUCGCCGAUCUCCAGAAUAGAGGAAAGGAUUGGAGAGAGCUGUGUUCCAGCCCAUGGGGGAGACACAGCGUUGAAGAGGAAAGAGUAUUGCAUUAGGACUUAGGGCACUUACGUCUACUUCUAGCUAGAAUUUUGACCUUUAUGGGCCUCUGUUUUUAUGUAUAAAAUGUGUAAGGACAAAUUGAUGAAUUUUCCAGGUGCAAGCCAGUCUGAGAGGCUAUGUUCCUUAUAAAUGGUUAACUUAAGGAGGUACCAGUGAGGCCAGCAUUUGAGAACCACAAUCCUUUGGCCCGGUAUGGUGGCUCAUGCCUGUAAUCCCAGCACUGUGGGAGGCCAAGGCGGGUGGAUCACUUGAGCCCAGGAGUUUGAGACCAGCCCGGCCAACAUGGUGAAACCCUGUCUCUACUAAAAAUACAAAAAUUAUCCAGGUGUAUGGUGCACACCUGUAGUCCCGGCUACUAAGAAGGCCGAGGCAGGAGAAUCGCUUGAACCCGGGAGGUGGAGGUUGCAGUGAGCCCAGAUUGAACCAGUGUACUCCAGCCUGGGCAACAGAGUGAGACUCCAUCUCAAAAAAAAAAAAAAAAAAAGAAUUGACCUAGGGCUUCAGGUGUUACAAUGAGAUCACAUGCGAUAAAGACUAAGAAAGCAUCCGGGUGUGGUGGCUCGCACCUGGAAUCCCAGCACUUUGGGAGGCCGAAACGGGCAGAUUGCUUGAGCCCAGGAGUUCAAGACCAACCUGGGCGCAAUAUGGCAGUACCUAAACUCUGCUAAAAAUACAAAAACUUAGCCGGGUAUAGUGGCAUGCACCUGUAGUCCCAGCUACUCGGGAGGCUGAGGUGGGAGGAUCAACUGAACCCUGGAAGUAGAGGCUGCAGUGACCCGUGAUCACACCACUGCACUCCAGCCUGGGUGACAGGAGCGAGACCGAGUCUCAAAAAAAAAAAAGACAGAAAGGGCCAGGUGUGGUGGCUCACGCCUGUAAUCCCAGCACUUUGGGAGGCUGAAGUGGGAGGAUUGCUUGAGUCCAAGAGUUUGAGACCAGUCUGGGCAACAUAAUGAGACCCCAUCUCUACAAAAAAUAAAAAUAUUAGCUGGGUGUUGUGGCACCAGCUUGUAGUCCCAGCUACUCUGGAGGCUGAGGUGGGAGGAUCUCUUGAGUCUGGGAGGUCAAGACUGCAGUGAGCCAUGAUCACACCACUGCACUUUAGGCUAAGCAACAGAACAAGACUCUGUCUCAGAAGUAGGGGCUGAGAAAUAACCACUAUUUGGAUUUAGAAAUUGAGUUCUUUGGGCCAUGCGCGGUGGCUCACACCUGUAAUCUCUUUGGGAGACUGAGG
rnacentral:lncRNA from 1 species